CUGUUGCCUCGGCGGGAUCUCUGCCCCGGGUGCGUCGCAGCCCCGGACCAAGGCGCCCGCCGGAGGACCAACCAAAACUCUUAUUGUAUACCCCCUCGCGGGUUUUUUUAUAAUCUGAGCCUUCUCGGCGCCUCUCGUAGGCGUUUCGAAAAUGAAUCAAAACUUUCAACAACGGAUCUCUUGGUUCUGGCAUCGAUGAAGAACGCAGCGAAAUGCGAUAAGUAAUGUGAAUUGCAGAAUUCAGUGAAUCAUCGAAUCUUUGAACGCACAUUGCGCCCGCCAGUAUUCUGGCGGGCAUGCCUGUCCGAGCGUCAUUUCAACCCUCGAACCCCUCCGGGGGGUCGGCGUUGGGGAUCGGCCCUGCCUUGGCGGUGGCCGUCUCCGAAAUACAGUGGCGGUCUCGCCGCAGCCUCUCCUGCGCAGUAGUUUGCACACUCGCAUCGGGAGCGCGGCGCGUCCACAGCCGUUAAACACCCAACUUCUGAAAUGUUGACCUCGGAUCAGGUAGGAAUACCCGCUGAACUUAAGCAUAU
rnacentral:rRNA from 1 species